UUAAAAAGUAAAUCUAUGUUUUUUAUCAAAUCAGUUUUAAUUUGAUUCGUUCCACCCUUCCAUUGAAGAACACUUCCCCUGUUGUGUGAAGAACAUUUCCUCCCUUCCAUUGUUCCUUCAUACUCAAAUUCGUUCCUGCUAAGCUUCGCCGUCGUCAUCGCCGUCGGGAGAAGAAGCAUCUGCUACCCUUUCGCUCGGAACAUAUUUCUUCCUUCCAUCAUUCCUUAACGACUCAUUGAAGUACCGUCACAGUGGGUGGUGGUGUUGUUAUCGCGGCUCUCCCUGCAACCUCUUUACUUCUACAAUUAGUGUUCAAGCAAACUGAAGAAAAGGAAGACUUUGUGGGUUUUCUUUGUGCUUAUGAAUUAGAAAAUUCAGUUUCAGUGGCAGAUGAAAGUCAGGAGUCAAGGAAAAGGAAAAAUUCAUUUGAAGGUGGAAUUCAGAGCCAAACUGUUCGAAAUAAUGUAGUAGUUCUUGAAGGUGAAUCAAAGUUCAAGCAGAAGGGACAAAAAGCACAAAUUGAAAUUAAUUCUAGCAACAAAAAGCCAAAACCUCUCUAUAAUCACUGUAUGAUUUUCACAAGUGCAUGUUAAUAUAUUGAAUUUAGAACAAUAUGUUUGAAAUUUGGUGAGUU